CCGCCGCCUGCAGCCGCUAGGGCGCCAGGGCUGCUUUGUUUACCACCUGUCAGAAGGAAAAGCAUGCGGGAUCUUAGUUCUGAAACCAGGGAUCAAACCCACAUCCCCAGCAUUGGAAGCACUGAGUCUUAACCGCUGGACCACCAGGAACUUGGAGUCAGCUCUUGUCCAAUUCGAGCCAGCUAAGACUGGUUGGGACCACCGACCCCAAAACUGGGCCUGUACAGGUGUUUGAUGAAUGACCUUUUGACAUCAGAGGGCCGAAAACUCUACCCUCAGAUCAUGCUAAGCACCUCCAUUUUUGAACCUGCAUUCCAUGAAGAAGCAUGUAACUCAUAUACACCUGUGCAGAACAUCGAUUGCCUCACCUUUUCCAUGCCUCCAAACACUUUACCCUGGGCCUAAGACCACCCUGCUUCGUUAUC